GGUCAAGACGCUUGACCCACUGAAAAAGGGGUUGCGACCCACCAGUUGAGAAUCGCUGGUCUAAGUUGGAUGCUUGAAUCUUCUUUACUCUUUGGUACCCUGCAAACUAAAACCACAACAACGUUUCUGAUUUUUUAAGGAGUGGUGGUGAUUGAACACUGCAAAAAAAUGAACAACAACCCUGGAUGGCUACGCUACACUGG